UCCUCUUCAAUUCAACAAAAUAUUUCAUCUCAGAAAUAGGUAGGUGUCUUCCACAAUUCUGUUCCUGGGAUGUGUUUUGCUUGGAUGGUCCAUUUUCCAAGCAGCAGCUGAGGACAGUUUUUUUCCUCUUGAUAUGCUAACUUUGCUAAAAAGCGAUUUACAUUUUCAUGCUUGGGAAGUCUUCAGGGGUUGAGUAUGAAGAGUGGAUGUUGGACUUUGAGCUGAGAACUUCAUGUACUACUGCAAGAUGUAAAAUCACGAUGACCAUAGAAGAGAGGGGUCUAUCACAGGAGUGCUUCCAUAGUCCAUGGAAUUACAAUUCAUGAUUCUGU